rnacentral:lncRNA from 1 species
UUUAAUAUAAUAUUGAAAGUGAUUAGUAUGAAUUUAAUUUUGGUCAAUUAACCAAUACAGUGUCGAUAUGCAGACGUGAGGUGUGACGCCCCCAAAAUUAGGUAUACAUCACUCAUUUUGGAUCGUCAGAUACAUGGUACAAAAUUCAAAUACAACUGUCGUGUACAAUACGACAAAACAUAACUGUGAGUUUGAAUACAAUUAUUGGCUACUAGAGAUUAUACAAACUCAAAAGGAGUCCUCAUUACAAUUAUUAACACACUAUUUCACAGAAUA